GAUGAACGCUGGCGGCGUGCCUAAUACAUGCAAGUCGAGCGAACAGACGAGGAGCUUGCUCCUCUGAUGUUAGCGGCGGACGGGUGAGUAACACGUGGAUAACCUACCUAUAAGACUGGGAUAACUUCGGGAAACCGGAGCUAAUACCGGAUAACAUGUUGAACCGCAUGGUUCAACAGUGAAAGACGGUCUUGCUGUCACUUAUAGAUGGAUCCGCGCCGCAUUAGCUAGUUGGUAGGGUAACGGCUUACCAAGGCAACGAUGCGUAGCCGACCUGAGAGGGUGAUCGGCCACACUGGAACUGAGACACGGUCCAGACUCCUACGGGAGGCAGCAGUAGGGAAUCUUCCGCAAUGGGCGAAAGCCUGACGGAGCAACGCCGCGUGAGUGAAGAAGGUCUUCGGAUCGUAAAACUCUGUUAUUAGGGAAGAACAAAUGUGUAAGUAACUAUGCACGUCUUGACGGUACCUAAUCAGAAAGCCACGGCUAACUACGUG
rnacentral:rRNA from 1 species